rnacentral:rRNA from 1 species
CCCUAUUAUUUUAAAUUAGUAAAUGUGGUUUGAGUAGUAAAUGAUAUAGGCAGGAAACUUAAAAAAUUUGGCGGUAUUUAUUCGUUUCAGAGGAAUAUGUUUUAAUAAUUCGAUAAUCCACGAUUAUCUUACUGGCAAUAUUACUUUGUAUAUCGCCGUCUAAAAAGGUUUUUAGAAAAUUUACUUUUGGAUUUUUGAUUUAAAUGUAAGUCAGGUCAAGAUGCAGGUUUUGUUAGUUAAAAUGUAUUACAAUUAAGUUAUUAAUGGAUUUAAGCUUGAAAUAGAUAAGGAAAUUGGAUUUGAGUGUAAGUGAUUUAAUUAUAAAUUGCUGAUUUAGGUUCAUAAAUAUGCACACAUCGCCC